UACAGAGGAGCCAAGCGUUGUCCGGAUUGACUGGGCGUAAAGCGCACGCAGGCGGUUGCGCGCGUGGGGUGUGAAAUCUGGCCGCUUAACGGCCAGGCGCCAUCCCAUACGGCGCGACUGGAGUGAUGCAGAGGUCGAUGGAAUUGCCGGUGUAGUGGUGAAAUUCGUAGAUAUUAGGAAGAGCACCAGUGGCGAAGGCGGCUCACUGGUCCGGUACUGACGCUGAGGUGCGAAAGCGUGGGGAGCAAACAGG
rnacentral:rRNA from 1 species